CAGGAUGUUGGCUUAGAAGCAGCCAUCAUUUAAAGAAAGCGUAAUAGCUCACUGGUCGAGUCGGCCUGCGCGGAAGAUGUAACGGGGCUAAACCAUGCACCGAAGCUGCGGCAGCGACGCUUAUGCGUUGUUGGGUAGGGGAGCGUUCUGUAAGCCUGUGAAGGUGUGCUGUGAGGCAUGCUGGAGGUAUCAGAAGUGCGAAUGCUGACAUAAGUAACGAUAAAGCGGGUGAAAAGCCCGCUCGCCGGAAGACCAAGGGUUCCUGUCCAACGUUAAUCGGGGCAGGGUGAGU
rnacentral:rRNA from 1 species